rnacentral:snoRNA from 1 species
GUUUGACAUGAUGAUAACAUUUUCUUUCCCCGUCUUAAUUUAAGUGAUGAGAAUUGAAAUCCUGACUCAUUC